rnacentral:lncRNA from 1 species
AUUCGUUGACCCCUGAUCAUAGACACGUUUGUUUGGGCAGUUAUUAUGUCAUAAUAAAGAGAUGGGGCAGGGACCUCCAGUCUGCCACAGUCCCCACCACUCCCUAUUGCCUCAUCCCUACCAGGUCACAGACUGAUACUAGCUGCCUGCCCCUCUGAUGGAAUUGAAGGUUUAACCCUUGUCACUCUGUCCACCCAGGCUGGAGCGUAAUGGCACGAUCUCAGCUCACUGCAACCUCCAUCUCCAGGGUUCAAGCAAUUCUCCUGCCUCAGCCUCUCGAUGAAACCAACUUCAUAAAGGCUGUGGCAUUUCUUCCAAGACACUACGAUGAAGAUGACAUCAUCAGGAGACUUAGGGAAAGCUACGACUUUUCAAGUAACUAAAGUGGGUGACCCUCACUACUUUGUGGGCUCAAUAGCUGUGUCUUCAUUUAUAAAAAUAAAAUGGUAGAGACUGUAUUGGACAGGAGAGACCUGGAAUAUGGAUCUAAGUAACCAGCUAGCACAAAAAUACCCCACUAUUUAUGUUAUGUAUACAUACAUAUAUACAUACGUGCAUUGGUGGAGCUAGAUAAUAUCUUUCAGCUCUGUUACUUUACAUUGAAGUAUCUGACUGAUCAUACUCAUUUGUGCAGGAGAUAUUUAAAAUCUAGUUGUGAAGAUGA